rnacentral:miRNA from 1 species
AAUGGGUUUUUGGAGCAGG